GAUCCUGGCUCAGGAUGAACGCUAGCGACAGGCUUAACACAUGCAAGUCGGAGGGGCAGCGAGGGGAGUGGCAACACUUCUGUCGGCGACCGGCGCACGGGUGAGUAACGCGUAUGCAACCUGCCCUUCACAGGGGGAUAACCGGGGAGAAAUUCCGACUAAUACCGCAUACGUCCUUUGGGGGCAUCCCCUGGGGAUGAAAGAGUUAUCGGUGAAGGAUGGGCAUGCGUUGAUAUUAGGUAGUUGGCGGGG
rnacentral:rRNA from 1 species